rnacentral:rRNA from 1 species
GUGCCAGCCGCCGCGGUAAUACCGGCAGUCCAAGUGAUGGCCGAUAUUAUUGGGCCUAAAGCGUCCGUAGCUGGCCGUGCAAGUCUGUCGGGAAAUCCAGUAGCUCAACUGCUGGACGUCCGGUGGAAACUGCUCGGCUUGGGACCGGAAGACUCGAGGGGUACGUCCGGGGUAGGAGUGAAAUCCUAUAAUCCUGGACGGACCACCAAUGGCGAAAGCACCUCGAGAGGACGGAUCCGACAGUGAGGGACGAAAGCUAGGGUCUUGAACCGGAUUAGAAACCCGAGUAGUCC